UCCUCCAAGGUCAAGGUGUAGUGAAGGGGCCCUUUAAGGGGCGGCAGCUAGUCCGGUUGCCAGGGAGACGGCUGGACACAGCCCCGCCGGCUGCAGACAGCAUGUCUUCCAGAGUUCAGUCCUCAGUCCCCAAAGGCAAGGACCACCGGCCCUCAGGCCAGGAGCGUCAGCCCCUCCCAGAGGCCAACGCUGAAGCCGUGGACUUCCUCAACUCCCUCCAGCCCGAGGAGCUGCAGAUGCUCUUCUUCUCUGAGACCCUGGCCAUGGUCUCCGACACCGGGGAGCCUCGGGGAGAACUGACCAUCGAGGUGCAGAGAGGGAAACACAAGGACGAAAUGAGCAUCAUGUCCCAGUGCAUCCUCGUGCACGCCUUUAGCCAUGGCCUCCUGGAUAAAACCGUCUGCGGAAACUCGCUCCUGGGCUAUCUCUCCCAGACUUUGGAGACCGUGGAACAACAUAGUCGAGAGUUCAUCAAGUUCCUCAUCCUCCCCAUGGAACACAAGAUGAGUUUGCUGAAGCAGAAUGACCAGCUGGCCAUGACCAGAAGCAUCAAGGAGGGUGAGGAAGUGAAGACUGGUGUGGCCUUCUUCCCUUCGCACUCAAUUACUGGCUUCAUCUCCGAAGCUGCCAACCUGGUGCUGUUGAGGUUGAUGGCUCGAAGGCAGAAGGUCCCUCAAAACGCCCGCUUCCUGGCCUUGGACACUGAGGGCAAACUCUGCUACUCCACCUAUCGAGCCCUGGGCUUCCAGAACAUCCAGGUGGGCCACCAGCAGUCCGAGGUGUUCAUUGUGGAGCACACCGUGCAUUCGAACGAGGGUAUCCCCAUGUCCUGGCAGUUCUACAUGCUCUGUGAUGGGCACCUGGCUAAGAGGAUCCAGGUGGGCUCCCCUGGGUACUGCAUCAUCACCAAGAUGCCCAUCCUGAGGAAGGAGGACGUCGUAGAGCCAAAGCCCGUGUUUGAGAAGAAACCCCUGGAGUGGGAGGAGGACCUGGAGCUCUACUCUAGGUUCCUGGAGCGGAAGGUAAGGAGCGGCAGGGCCAGUCUGGGGUACCCCCCCCGGGCCAUGAACCCCCCAUUACCGAUCUCCCUGUCCCUCCCUCCUUUCCCCGUGGCCCCUCCCGGCUCUGAACCGCACACCCUGGGGGCCCUGCUGGGAGCGGGUGGGGGCUCCUGGCGCGGGUCCCCGGCUCCGACCCGGGCCUCCCCGCCAGGAGGAGCUGCGCCUGAGCCACGCCAGCUACCUGCGGCAGCACCCCGAGGCGCAGGCGCUCGUCUCCGACUUCCUGCUCUUCCUGCUGCUGCGCCAACCCCAGGACGUGGUCACCUUCGCCGCCGAGUACUUCGGCCCUUUUGCGGCGAACCGCCCGCCCUCACCGCCCUUGCGCUCCUCCCACAGGCCCAGCCCUUUCCGCUCGCCGGACCCCGGGGACGCCGCGGGCUCGGGGGCGGGCUGGGCGCACUAGGCUGGCGGGGACGCAGCAGGAAACGGGGGCGUCGCGGCGGGGCCCCUCGGGGACGUGGGCUGGUCCCGCCCGGGGCGGGCGCGCCGGCCCAGCUGCGGCUUUUGUGGGAAUAAACGGGGCGCUCCCGGCGCCGCUGGGCCAGCAGGGACUCCCCCUGGCCAGCGCCUGGUGCCUUUGACCCCACGAGUGGAGCGAGUCUCAGUCUUUCCUCCUAGAUGCCGGGCGCAUUGUUAUCCCAUUUCGCAGAUGAGAAAAUAGAAGCCUAGCGACUCUUAGAGUUGGCGCGGGAAGCAGGAUGAACCUGGACACUGCUCUUGAGUCUCCAGGUAGCAGACAUAGAGGGGCGGGGUCCUUGGCGCUCAGAAUCCUCUGGAUCCCACUAAGCACAGUCGCCCGCCCGAGGAGGGUCGUGAAACACCCCUGGCCUCGCUCUACUCCUUUGUGCUGCAUCUUCUCCGCGUCCCCACCGACACACGGGAACCCUCAAACGGCGGGGGAUCCCCAGGCACUGGCUCUCACUAAGUUGCUGAAGUUGGCUUUGAACUUGCGAUCCUCCUGCCUCAGCCUCCCGAGCUACUGGGAUUACAGGCAGGCACCACUGUGCCAGGCUCGAGGUAGAGGACACUUAAGGUUUUCCAGGCAGAGAAAAUGGCAUGAGCUGAGGGUACCAGCAGGAGAGUGGAACACCACCUUCUGGUAGAAAUGGUCUGUGCCUGUGAUGUCCACAAGGAAGCCACUAGCCAGUAUGGGCGUUCUGUACUGGAAAUGUGGCCAAAGAAUUGGAGCUUUACUUUUGAUUUAAAUUAACUUUCAAGAUAGAGUGGCUACCAUAUCAGAAGCAUAGCUCUAGAGAACAAAUUCUUACCCCAUCUGGCAGUCAGCCCAACAAAUACUGCCUCCCUUCACAGACUAGGAUUAUUCUGGGAAGUGGGAGAUCAGCAGUGAUAAGACACAGUCCCUGUCAUCAUGGAGCUUACAGGCGCCUGGAAACUGCCUUCCUCCCUAGAGCAUUGCCACCAGAGCAGGGCAUUGUGCCGAGAGAGCACACAACCUUGCCUGGGAAAAACCAUGGAGGGCUUCCUGGAGGAGGCCACACCAGGCAAAGGUUGUGGAGGAUGUUUCAGGAGAAAGCAGCAAGAAAAGGCUAGGAAGUUGGAGGCUACUACAGGGCUCAGGACAAGCUGAUGAAGAGGGUGGGAGCCUAACCAGCAUAUGGCCUGCUGUCCGAGACACUAAGACUCUGGACGUGAGUGAGGCAAAGGCCUGGAUGUCCACCUGUUUCUGCAAGUUUCCCUUCCCACAAGAAGCCUUGAAGAGAGCAGGUAAACUAAGAGCAGUGCUACAGGUAGAGCCUGUCUCAGUCUGUUCAGUGCUGCUUUAACAGAUUGCCAGAGGUUGGGUGAUUUACCAAGAAAAAAAAUGUAUUUCUCACAGUUCUGGAACUUGAGGAGUCUAAUGUCAGGGUGCUGGCAUCUGUGGAAGGCCUUCUUGCUACAUCACCCCAUGGUAGAAGUCAAGAGGGAGAGGGGGAGAGAGAGAAUGCAAAAAAGAUGAAGUUGGGGUCUCAAACCCUUUUAUAAUUGAUACUAAUUCACUCACAAGCCCCAUGAGCUAAACACCUCCCAACACUGUUGCCGUGGAGAUUAAGUUUCCAGUGCAGGUUUUUUGGGGACCAUAUUCAAACCAUAGCAGAGCCCUAAAGAAGAGUCUCUGGUAUUUAACUAGACAACAUUAAAACCAGGCUGGUAGUGCUUUGGGAGGUACAGACCUUGUCUUUGGACUCUCUGUCGGUUCUUCCCUUCAUUAAUCCUCUGGUUAAAUCUACAGUUCCCCUGAAACCAGCACGAAAAACCUGCUCCUGCUCAGUUUGAUGGUUUCUCCGUUUUGUUUUAUGACGUAUUGCAUCAAGAUUGUUCUCUACUGGGGCUGGAGCUGGGGCUCAGUGGUAGAGCACUAGCAUGCAUGAGGCACUGGGUUUGAUCCUCAGGAACACAUAAAAGUAAAAUAAAGUUGUGUCUACCGAAAACUAAAACAUAAAUAUUAAAAAAUUCUCUCUCUUAAAAAAAAUAAAAAUAAAAAAUAAAUAAAGGUAUUGUGUCCAUCUACAACUAAAAAAGAAAUUCUUUAACAGGAAUUGUUCUUUACUAUUUUAAUCAUUAUAAAUACCUCAUGUUUGAGAUCUUGGCAAGGCUUUGGUGGCUGAAUGAGUCCAUUCUGGCUGCUAUAAGAAAAUACCUUAGGCUGGGCGCUGUGGUGCGAGCUAUAAUCCCAGCGGCUUGGGAGGCUGAGGCAGGAGGAUCCCAAGUUCAAAGCCAGCCUCAGUAAUUUAGCAAGGCCUAAGCCACUCAGGGAGACCCUGUCUCUAAAUAUUAAAAAGCUGGGGCUGAGGCUCAGUGGGUAAGCACCCCUAGGCUCAACCCAGGUAUCAAAAAAAAAAAACUGUGUAAUUAUAAACAACAAAUUUAUUGCUGACAGUUCUAAGGGCCAGGAAG